rnacentral:piRNA from 1 species
UAGUCUGUGCUUUGGUGUAUUCCCUUGCU